rnacentral:rRNA from 1 species
AACAGGAUUAGAUACCCUGGUAGUCCAUGCCGUAAACGUUGGGCACUAGGUGUGGGGCCAGUUCCACUGGUUCUGUGCCGUAGCUAACGCAUUAAGUGCCCCGCCUGGGGAGUACGGCCGCAAGGCUAAAACUCAAAGGAAUUGACGGGGGCCCGCACAAGCGGCGGAGCAUGCGGAUUAAUUCGAUGCAACGCGAAGAACCUUACCAAGGCUUGACAUGUACGAGAACGCGUUAGAGAUAACGAACUCUUUGGACACUCGUACACAGGUGGUGCAUGGUUGUCGUCAGCUCGUGUCGUGAGAUGUUGGGUUAAGUCCCGCAACGAGCGCAACCCUUGUCUCAUGUUGCCAGCACGUGAUGGUGGGGACUCAUGGGAGACUGCCGGGGUCAACUCGGAGGAAGGUGGGGAUGACGUCAAAUCAUCAUGCCCCUUAUGUCUUGGGCUUCACGCAUGCUACAAUGGCCGGUACAGAGGGCUGCGAUACCGUGAGGUGGAGCGAAUCCCAAAAAGCCGGUCUCAGUUCGGAUCGGGGUCUGCAACUCGACCCCGUGAAGUCGGAGUCGCUAGUAAUCGCAGAUCAGCAACGCUGCGGUGAAUACGUUCCCGGGCCUUGUACACACCGCCCGUCAAGUCACGAAAGUUGGUAACACCCGAAGCUCACGGCCCAACCCGUUUGGGAGGGAGUGGUCGAAGGUGGGACUGGCGAUUGGACUAAGUCGUAACAAGUAGCAUC